rnacentral:rRNA from 1 species
UACGGAGGGUGCAAGCGUUAAUCGGAAUUACUGGGCGUAAAGCGCACGCAGGCGGUCUGUCAAGUCGGAUGUGAAAUCCCCGGGCUCAACCUGGGAACUGCAUUCGAAACUGGCAGGCUGGAGUCUCGUAGAGGGAGGUAGAAUUCCAGGUGUAGCGGUGAAAUGCGUAGAGAUCUGGAGGAAUACCGGUGGCGAAGGCGGCCUCCUGGACGAAGACUGACGCUCAGGUGCGAAAGCGUGGGUAGCAAACAGGAUUAGAUACCCUGGUAGUCCACGCUGUAAACGAUGUCGACUUGGAGGUUGUACCCUUGAGGAGUGGCUGCCGGAGCUAACGCGUUAAGUCGACCGCCUGGGGAGUACGGCCGCAAGGUUAAA